CUCAACAGACUGAAGCUGCUUCAUCUGAUUACUGAUCAAUCUUGAUCCCUUCAGUGGCUUGUUUUUGCAUUAGCAAUGUAAAACUGGCCCAAAUAGGUUUAAAGUGGUCAGAACUUGCUCUUAACAAGUUCAGAUCUUUUCUCACAAAGAAAAUAAGUUUAGUCCAGUUUAAAUCUAUUUUGACUAGUUUAAACUAAUUCUGCAGAGCUGGAACCUGAGGUCGGUAAACCCAGGAAGAUGGCUGAAGGUGAUGCUGAUUCGAGCCAAAGCAAGGAAUCAGUGACAAUCAGAAAAGCCACAGCAUAAAAUGGCUUCCAGUGUUGCAGACUCACAGAUAUCCCUGGUUCCAGUUUCAGUUCCUACAUCAUCGUGGACCUGUGGCCACCAGAAGCCCUGAAAUAUGACUCUCAGAUUGGCACUGCUGUAAGAGGACAUAAAGACCUUCAAAGUGCAGACAAGCUUAUCUAUUUUGAAGAACAGGAAACUGUGAUCCAGAGGGGAAGGGACUUCUCCAACUUCUUCCACGUAAUAAUUUUGCUCCUGAUACUACCAGCGAUUUUUUUAUUUUUAAGUGCAAUCUAUCAAAUUUAAUAUUAAGGUUUCUUAGAGCAGAUUUGUUUUUCAGGAAAGACCAACUCUUCUGUGAAACUUGGUACUUUGUUUCAGAGCUAAAAAAAUAUACAUGUAGAGUCCUGGUGUGUGUGUGUGUGUGUGUGUGUGUGUGUGUGUGUGUGUGUGUGUGUGUGUGUUUUCCUUAUACCAUAGAAGCCAGCAUAAGCAAAAUGGAAAGAGCAUAAGCUUUAGAUUCAGACAGAUUGGGUUUAAUUUCUUUGCUGGAACCCAUGGGAAAUUCUUUAACUUCUUUGAGUUUCAGAUUCAUUAUCUGUGAAAAUGGGGAUAAUCAUUAUUUGAUUUUAACCAUGUAAUGUUUGAGGUGCUUGUGAAAAAUCGAGGUGCAGAGAUUUCAGAAGGGCUGAAGUUCAAGAGAAUGACCAAGUCUGGGGAUACAGAUUUGAAAAUCAACAGCCAAGGGGAAGGUAUAUAAAGUUACAUGCAUGAUGACCUUGCCUAGGCAGAGGGAUCUCUUCCAUAUGAAAUCUCUUUAGCUAUUUGAGGUUGAAAGUGAUGUUAUACAGAUGAUUCAAUUUUCUAGACUUGACAUCUGUAGAUGUCGGAAUGAUCAAAAAUAAUUCAGCAUUUGUCUUGGGUUCUAACCUCUCCAUUGGCCAAGUUGUCUUUCUGAGGACAUAAUCAUAUUUUUGUUUUAUCAUUCUUGAGGUGUGGUGUUUUAAAGCUAAACACAGUAUCCUGGUAUGGUGUGGAGAAACAGAAAGACCAUAGCCUCCUUAAUUCUAGGAAUUAUGCUUUUAUUUGUGUGUGCAUUAGCUCAUUUUGGGUUUCCAUAUCUCACCACUGACUCAUAUUAUGUAUAUUGUUGACUAAACCUCCUAAGUCUUUCAGCAGAUACUACUGAUAAGCCAUAUUUUUGACCCCCCCAAAUCAUGAACCAGUGAUUGUUUAUAGCAGUGAGUCUCAAAUCUUAGUAUGCAAAAAUUUUACCUGGGAAGCUUGUUAAAAGUGGAGACUCUGGGCACCCAGUCACCAAUAUUCGGAUUCAUUAGGUCUGCAAUGGGGCCCAGGAAACUUUGCUUUAACAAAAACUUCAGGUGACUCCAUCACAGGUUAUUCUUGACAGUGCUCUGAGAAAUAGUGUUUUGUGGCAUGGAGAGAACUGCAUUUGGCUCGUUGUAGUUCCUGGUAGAGACUUGGCCUCUAGCCCCAUAUUUGGCCCCACUUCACUGCAGAAUGCAGCCAUGAAGGAGCUGUAGGGUAUCACCAGCUCCAUCUCAUUUCUUGAUAUCCAACACUUGGUUUAGUGGAAAACGUUAGACUUUUCCCCUUGUUUUUCCAUUUUUUUGCAGCUUCUUAGAUACUCUAGAACUGGAUGACCUGUAUUUAGGAGGUCAGUUCAUUGGGGGUCAGUAAUACAGCUUUCAAAACAUGAAGUUCAUUGAUUGGUGAUUGGUUUGCUUGUUACCUUCCAAAAAGAUUUGAUACAGCAUCCACCAAACUGAAUUUCAGGUGUAUGAAAGAGAUUUGUGAGAAUAUUGAAGAUUUUAAAAAUAGAAGAAAGUGUAGGUGAAUAAAUUAUUUCCUCUUUGCAUAGGUGUAAAAUAAUAUAUCACAAAAGGAAGGGCUAUAUAUUUGCAUAUAUACAAAUGAAAACCUCUGUCAAUCUUAAACAUGAGCAAAAUUAAAAUGCAAAUGACAAAUGAAAUCUGUGCAACAAAUAUGACAAAUGCAGUAAAUCCUCAUUUGUGGAUUCUACAUUUGCAAAUUUGUCAACUUGCUAAAGUUUAUUCAUAACCCCCAAAUCAAUACGUGUGGUGUUUUUAUGGUCAUUCAUGGAUAUGCACAGAGUUGCAAAACAUUUGAAUUGCAUAAUGUUCAUGUACCCAGCUGAGGUUCAACAAGGCAAUUCUCUGCCUUCUUGUUUCAGCUCUCAUACUAUAAAUAAGUGUACUUUUCGUGGUGUAUUUAGUUCUAUGCUUUUCACAUUUUUGUGCUUUUUGUUUGGUGAUUUUGCUGUUUAAGAUGUUCCUGAAACUUAGUGUUAAGUUCCUGUUUAGUGUUCCUGAGUGAAAGAAGGCUAUGAUGUGCCUAAUGGAGAAAAUACGUGGGUUAGAUAAGUUUAGUUCAGUCAUAAGAUAUAGUACUAUUGGCAUUCAGUUCAAUGGUAACGAAUCAUAUAUAUGUAUGUAUGUA